CAUGAAUGAAAUAUGACAUAUUAGCAUUUUUACAGAAGUCAAAAUGUCAAUUUUCAGUCAACUCGUUUAGAAGUGCAUAUUCAAGAGGCUCAAAAGUCAAGUCGGCUGAUCGUUAUAUAUAGGAGCUUUAUCAGCCUAUUCGGACCAUAAUUGACAUGGACGCUAGAAUGUAUCCUGAAGAUAUUUAAACCAAGUAGAAACGAGAUUCAAUUACCUUCCUCGUUCCCGUAUUCUUUCAAAAGAUCGUCAUCUUUAGAAUUUUUUUGAUCCAGCGCAUUUUCCUGAAAUAUAGGCUUGGCUCUCACAUCGUAAAUUAUGAUAUCUGCAAGAGGAAUAUUCUGUACAUCAAUAUCGGAAUCUGCUACAUUUAUGUUAACCAAGCCAUCCGAGAGAUUUAAAACACCAGGCGGUAAAGAGUUUUGGGCAACAUGUUCGUUGAAAGCUGCAAAGUCAAAGCUUUCACUUAUCACUUUCUCAUUAUUCGACAUGUCCUCGUACGCUAACGUAUUUUCUCUAUUGUCAGAGUCCGAAUCAAGAACUUCAUCUUCUUGAACUUCCUCAAUCAAAUCAGUAUCACAAAUCCCAAUCAUUUCGGGCGUUGACGGGUGUAUCAAUUCCUCAAAUUUCAACUCAUUUACCCCCAGUGAGGACGUGGGGCUGUUUUCGUUGUGCAAUAUUCUAAGAUCAACCAAGUCAUGUAUGGUGUUGUUUUCCUUGUAAGAAUUCAGUAUGCGCUCCCUUAAUUGCGCAAACCUUUUUUCCAAGCUUUCAUAUUCCAAAAUAUCAGCAUUACAUGAAUCACACAAUAACUAAAAAACAGAUUGAAUAAACUUUUAAAACUUUACAAUACAUAUUUUUACCAACACAUACUGUGGAGUGUGCAGUUCCCUCAUCCAAGUCCAACUGCAAAAUGGAUCCCAACAGAACUGCCAGCGAGCACUCGACAUGACCGUCUUCUCGCAGCCUUUGCUCAAACAUGAGCCAUGGCUCCUCGCCGUUCACGAACUCAUGGUCGCACAAAUAGCAUUUCGGCGAUUCCAUCGAAUAUUACCGGAACCAGGCUUCCACCGAAGACCACUGGAAAGAACAUCACACUUGGCAUGUUAGCAACAACUGGACUUGUCACACAGAACAAAAUACAUGCCAGCAGGCUGACAUGUCUUACCAACAUGUGCAAUUCAAAACCUGCCCGCUGACCACACAUGAAAUUCAAACGUACCUGCGGAUAUACUUGGGACUCUUAAAAUCGCGACAACGAGUGUCAACAAUUAUUUACUUUUUCGUAAAAGUUCGGCUUUUAAAAAUGAAAUUUAAUAACAAUGUGCUCGCCUAAGCGCAAAGCAGUGAAAAAAAUAUAUAAAUUAAGGUGAAUAUCAGCUGAUAGCUUAAGAGGUCCUCUCAGAGUUGUAUUUCUUUUAUAAGUAACAGACAGCAACGGACUUUGCAUAACACAAUUUUGAAUUUUAAGUGUGGUUAAGGUACGUUCACACGGCUCGCUAAUAUUGCAUCAACCACACUCGUUAAAAAACUCAAUUUAUUUUUAUUUUAUUUAUUUUUUUUGGUUUUAUUAUUUAGUUUUAUUUUAGUUCUAUUCAUUGCAAGACAAAACUAGUGAAUAAGAUUUGAAAAACUAGAUCAAGCCCAAAAAGACAAAUUUAUCAAAAAGAAAUAUCGUCAAAAUGUCGUAAAAUCAAAAUAAAACGGCUGGUAGCUUGGGCGCAGG